CUACGGGUUGCAGCAGUGGGGAAUAUUGCACAAUGGGCGCAAGCCUGAUGCGGCCAUGCCGCGUGUAUGAAGAAGGCCUUCGGGUUGUAAAGUACUUUCAGCGGGGAGGAAGGGAGUAAAGUUAAUACCUUUGCUCAUUGACGUUACCCGCAGAAGAAGCACCGGCUAACUCCGUGCCAGCAGCCGCGGUAAUACGGAGGGUGCAAGCGUUAAUCGGAAUUACUGGGCGUAAAGCGCACGCAGGCGGUUGGUUAAGUCAGAUGUGAAAUCCCCGGGCUCAACCUGGGAACUGCAUCUGAUACUGGCAAGCUUGAGUCUCGUAGAGGGGGGUAGAAUUCCAGGUGUAGCGGUGAAAUGCGUAGAGAUCUGGAGGAAUACCGGUGGCGAAGGCGGCCCCCUGGACGAAGACUGACGCUCAGGUGCGAAAGCGUGGGGAGCAAACAGGAUUAGAUACCCGAGUAGUC
rnacentral:rRNA from 1 species